rnacentral:lncRNA from 1 species
GAACACAACCACCUCUGACCUCUCUGUCCCUCAUCAGGUUUCCACCUGCCACCUCCAAUGGAUUGUUUGCAGCCCUGCCAUUCCAGUUCUUAUCAGCAAAUUUCCUUUGAAAGAGAAAAGCGCUUUUAGUUUAUGAAUAUUUGUGCUCUGCACAAGAAACACCAGUUCUGUGAGGGGGAAACACCUUGUUCUGAGCAAACAUUUGUUUCGACAGUCACUUUACACACCACAUCAGGUGAGGGGGGCGUCAUCGGCACCACCUCUCCACCUUCUCAUAUAAAUUUUAUGGACAGAUCUUCCUCUGGGAUCAGCAAGGCACAACGUUUCGCUGUCACAGCCGUCUCUUUGCAGAAAGCCAGAAUGAGAGCACUUCUUACUGUGGUCAUCUUUUGUAUCUUUCUGGCUGUAUGUCAUGGAGCUUGCAUGUUCGAAAAGUUUAAAAUCAAGGAGAAUGGUGAAAAAGAAACUGAGUGCACUGAUCCGUUCGAAGGGAGCAAACACCCAAUCGGGUCCAAGUGGAACACGUCUGAGUGUUGGGCUUGCUCGUGCGGGGAAGAUGGAAUGAGCUGCUGUACCAGGUAUGGAAAAGNCCUUCAGCAAGCAUAGAUGUUUUCCCUCUUUUAAAGUGG